GCCCUGACUCCCCCACAUUGCAGCUCCCGGUUUCCCUGCUCUCCUGCUCUGCUGCUGGCAUCCCAAUGCAGACCUGCUCUGAGCGCUUUGGCUGAUACUCUGUUUCAGGGGCUGGCUGAACUUUGCUUUCUCUAAGGUCUUCAAAACUCAGUCAACAAGCGGAGUUAAAUCAUAUCAUAGGGCAGUUGGAAUUAGCAGGUGUUUACAGAACGGUCUGUCCAGCAGAUAAGAAGCCAUGUUCUUCUCAGAGCCCCAUGGAGCUGCCCAUCAAACUUGUGAGGUGGACAGCAGCAGUACUUCUCACCCUGUUCACAGGAUAGGGAGUGGAAGCACUCGUUCUGUAAAGCUGGUUUCACCCUGAUAUCAGCCCCACACAGGGGCAGAACAAAGAGAAAAACUGCAGGUCAUUUAAGCUGAUGAACGUAAAUGUAAAAAUUGUCAAAACAUUUGCAACUGAAUUCAAGAACACUUAAAGAAAAAAAAAAAUCACAUCACUACCAAGUUGGUUUCAUUCCAGGUUGUAGGAUGGUGCAUUCGAGACUCUAUGAUGAUGCAAAACAGGCCUUUACUGAAGUUUUGGCAGUUCUGGGCAAAGGAGAGACAGAAGGAGCAUCAUUAGCGAGGUAGACUGUGCCGUGUGUGUGUGUGUGUGUGUGUGUGUGUGUGUGUGUGUGUGUGGUCAACCUUGCACCAACACUCGGAAAGGAGGCAGGUUUUCUCUGAUGUUGUACUUGAGCUCUCACCCAGAGCAAUGGGAAAGAGCAGAAAAUUAAGACUGUAAUAGGACAUCAUGCUGACCUGUUUGUACACGACGUGGUCCUAUGUGUCAGGCACCCUGUGCGCUCCAGGAAACUUGGAGGGCUGCUGUGUAUUUUAGGAAAGUAUCAGGACACAAACUCACUGGAAUCUCUGUACCCGUAGUGAACUUGCUAGGAAAGUGCCCGCUCUUCAUACUUAGCAAUA
ensembl:sense_intronic Gm16310 predicted gene 16310